UACAGAGGUCCCGAGCGUUGUUCGGAUUCACUGGGCGUAAAGGGUGCGUAGGUGGUGAGGUAAGUCGGAUGUGAAAGCUCCGAGCUCAACUCGGAAAUGGCAUUGGAAACUACCUUGCUGGAGGGUUUGAGGGGGGACUGGAAUUCUCGGUGUAGCAGUGAAAAUGCGUAGAUAUCGAGAGGAACACCAGUGGCGAAGGCGAGUCCCUGGAAAACACCUGACACUGAGGCACGAAAGCUAGGGGAGCAAACAGG
rnacentral:rRNA from 1 species